rnacentral:lncRNA from 1 species
GCGACUCCCAACGCAAUCAGUUUCAAAUUCUUUGUACGGUUUCGUCUCAGCCGUCCAUUCCUCUUCUACGGCCACAAUCCCGCCAUCUCUUUUUGUCUUAUCUGCGGCAUUAAUUAGGUCACUUAAUUGCCGUCGUCUAUUCAUCAUUAUAGCCAGCCUCGGAACUCGCUUGGAUGCGACGAUUCGACGCGAUGGCAACCUUUUCCUUCGCUAAACUUCUUCUCCAAGCUUCAUUCUCUUUGCCUUUUUCUUUUCUCUCCAUCGUUUUCUUCGCUUCUCUCUCUUCUUUCUGAAUUUUAACCUCUUUCUCUCUAUUCUUAAGGUUCUUCGCUUCACCCUUCCUUAGUUCUAGUAAUGGUGCCGCUUCCGCCUCUUCCUUCUUCCUCGUCUUUGGACUACAACAUACUUAGACAGUUCGUCGAACCGGACCCUUCUCGAUUUAUUUUAGGUCCUUCUUGCACAGGCGAACCGUCUUCUGACGAUUUCCCAUUUUCC